rnacentral:sRNA from 1 species
GUUCCGAGUUGUCUACCCCUCUGCGGGCAA